GUGUCAGCAGCCGCGGUAAGACAGAGGUCCCGAGCGUUAGGCGGAAUCACUGGGCUUAAAGCGUGUGUAGGCGGCGGCCUAAGUACCUUGUGAAAUCCCACGGCUCACCCGUGGAACUGCUCGGUAUACUGGGUCGCUUGAGCCACUUAGGGGCUACCGGAACAAAUGGUGGAGCGGUGAAAUGCGUAGAUAUCAUUUGGAACGCCAAUGGUGAAAACAGGUAGCUGGGAGUGUGCUGACGCUGAGACACGAAAGCCAGGGGAGCAAACGGGAUUAGAUACCCCGGUAGUCC
rnacentral:rRNA from 1 species